GGGAGAAGAAGCACUUUCGAAGCGGCUGUUAAUUAUGAACUGAUAGUUCAACAUUUGCUCAAACAGGCAGGUUUCGGUAAACGAUCGUACGAUUCUAAGAGGAGGAGCUCUUCCGGAACAAAUCCUUCUUGCCUCGAAGUCCAACGCUCCAAGGUAUUCACAGUUUAUUUUACUUGAUGCAGAAAUGGAGGUAUCUGACACAAGAAACAAGAAGAACCAAAGACUGUGUUGUGCAUUGCCACACCACCAUGUUACAGGAAUAACACGCUCAGCAGACCCCUAGUUUGGACCAAAUACCUGAAGAUGCUUUUUAUUCUGUAACUUUUGAAAGUACUUUUCCAACAUUAAGUCCACAGAGUAUUGGUUGUUCAGCAACCAACCUACCAUGCAAAUUGUAGAAGUCCCUGCUUUGGGAACAAUAGCUGGCUCAAGACAUUUUCCUGCAUAAGACAAAGGACAAGAUGUCUCCCUCCCCCCAUUCCUAACUGGCAAUGGGACAGCAUCCACCCAUUGGACCUGAGGUCAGCAGGAUAGCUUAGGAGUUGCAAGCUCCUGGGGUUGGAUUUGUCACUUCUGACUCCCCACAUACACAUCAGUAUCAUCUACCUAAGACAGCCACCUCACUGUGCCUAAUGGCAGGGCUGGCCUUAUCUGAGUGGGCUGUACAUGUGGGCCCCUCCCUCACUUUCUGCCAUUUUGCCAAGCCAUUUUUUUCUACAAACUGGCACUUGACCUGCUCAGCAGAGGAGUUUUAGCGAUUACCUCUUAAACUGUUUUA